rnacentral:lncRNA from 10 species
CAGAAAUCAACAUUAUCACAUUGAACUGCAGCCUCCGCUAGAAUCUCACCAGUUUUUCCACUAGUGCAGCUUUUCUGUCCCAGGACCCGCCCCAGGAUACCAGGCUGCACUUCAAAGGAGCCGGUUUUACAAAAAAGCAUGUUGCUUCAAAAGGCAGCUUCAUCCAAGGCAACAGAAGACAGUGAAGCAGAGUACUCAGGAGCCAGCCAGGAGCUCAGGAGACAGGGGAGGGGCUGGAACCCAGCACCGAGACAGAGUCUUGCUCCGUCGCCCAGACUGGAGAGCAGUGGUGCUAUUUCGGCUUACUGCAACCUCGGCCUCCUGGGUUCAAGCAAUUCUUGUGCCUCAGCCUCCUGAGUAGCUGGAAUUACAGGCAAGCGCCACCAAGCCCGGCUGAUUUUUUUGUAUUUUAGUAGAGACAGGGUUUUACCGUGUUUCUCCCAGGGUGGUCUCGAACUCCUGAGCUCAGGCAAUCCACAGGCCGCGGCCUCCCAAAGUGCUAAGAUUACAGGCGUGAGCCGCCAUGCCCAGGCUAAUACCUAGAUCUUUAGACCUAGGUGCUUGGUGGUCUUUCUACCAAUUUUAGGAUGAGUUCAGAAAAGAAUACCUGGGACUCCCACCAUCCUUAGGCAUGAACAUAUGGAAAUUAUAAAAGUGGCUCUAAGGGACAAAGGGGUGCAGGUGGCAGCACAACCAAAGCACACACAGCCCGAUGUGGUAUUUUCUAGGGAUCGCCCCCUUCUUUGAGUGUGCGUGCGUGCGCGUGCAUGCAUUGCUUCUGGUUCAUAAAUCUGAGCCAAGUCUUACAUGCAGUACAGACCUGUGCAUUAGAAUUCACAGGGUCACUGGGCUAGUUCAAAUAUCUAGGUUCUGAUCUUAAGUCGGGGCUGGGACGAAGAGACAGACCUGAACUGGAAGAAAACUUUGGCCUGGAGUGCUCUGGUCAAAGUCUCCGAGUCCUCCUCUUACUUCCCAAACCGAGCUUUGAACCGGAACCAACAGCAGCGGAAAAGUAAAGUUAGCAGCUCUUCCCCAAGUGGGAGUAGCUCCUCAUCACUCACUGCCUUUAAAAUCCUGGUUUGUUUUACAU